UCCAGGAGCUGCUGCGCCCACAGGGACCGGCGCCCUCUGUGGGUCCGGCGGCUCCUGGCCCCGUUCAGCGCCUCCAGAGGCCUCACCCGGGCCCUCUCCAUUUCGUCCACAGGGGCCUGAAAGCGCUGGCCCAGACACGGGGUCACUCCCCUGAGCCUCCCGACCUUCCCAUGCACUGGUCCUUUGGAGCCCUGGGUUUUGGAGUUUGUCCUUCCUAAGUGCCGCCCGCCAGGACGUGGCUGCUCCAGGACCACAGCGGACCAAGUGCAGUCGCGUCCCCCGCGGGCCACCCGUCAAGGGCACAGGGGGAGAGGCGUCGUGUAGGGUCCAGCCCUACUGGAUCUGUGGGUUUUUCUCCUCGUUUGCGGAGACGAGAGAUUGUAGAAAUAAAGAUACAGGACAAAGAGACAGAAGAAAAAAACAGCUGGGCCCGGGGAACCACUACCACCUAGAUGCGGAGACCCGUUGUGGCCCGGAAUGCCUGGCUGCACUGUUAUUUAUUGGAUACAAGGCAAAAGGGGCAGGGCUCCUUCCUCACCUGGGGUGAAGGGCUCCCAAUCCCAGCCCGCAGGGGACUUCCUGUUUCAUUGAUGCCAACAAGUGAACAUUGAUGCCAACAAGUGAACAUUGACCAUCUCCUGUGUGCAUGGACAGAGAAGACAGACACGCUGGCCCUCGGUAAUAGGUGCUGGCAAGUAAGGAGCAGAGUCUUCUUUGAGGUUGCUGAGGAAACCCUCGGAGGCAGCUGUGAACCCACCAAUCUUGCCCUGUAGGGAGCUCAGGAUCCCCAAGACUGGAUGAGCAAAUAAGCUUAGUCAGUGACAGUCCCACCAGCCUUGCUGAGAGUCACAGUAGGCAUCCACUCCCACUGUGGGUCCCCAAGCCUGCUCUGCUGGGCAGCCUCAGGGACCCAGAGCUGUACUUCCAAUGCUCUGCAGACACACCUCGGGCUUGAAUCCCAUCUCACCAAUUCCACAUGUUGGAUAUAAAAUACUCCAGGAAUAAACGCUUGGUGCCACGAGUAAAAACAGCACUCAGGCAAAAGUUUAAUGCCCUCAGCAAGGCAAUUUACUUCUGCAGAAGGGUGUCACUGGUGUCAAUCAAGAUCGCAAGUGCACACAGAACAAAGGAGACCAGGGGGUUUUUAUCCUUAAAGCAGUCCCUAUCUCUGUGCCACUCCCCCAUGGGCUGGGAUCAGACUGCACAAUCUGAGCUGACCCAAUUGGCUACUUGUACAUAUUUUCCUAAAUAUAGCAGGGGAGGGGGACGUGAGGUACGGAGGUGAAUUGUGUGAGAUGUGCAGUUUCGGGGGAACAAUGGGUGCAGGUAACCAAGGGAACAGAUGUGAGUUAUUGAUUAGAGCUGAUGGGAAGUGGUAGGCUGUUUACGGUAACUAGGGGCA